GUAGUUAGCCGGGGCUUCCUCCUUGGCUACCGUCAUUUGUUUCGUCACCAAGGACAGAGGUUUACAACCCGAAAGCCUUCUUCCCUCACGCGGCGUUGCUGGGUCAGGCUUGCGCCCAUUGCCCAAUAUUCCCCACUGCUGCCUCCCGUAGGAGUCUGGACCGUGUCUCAGUUCCAGUGUGGCCGAUCAGCCUCUCAGCUCGGCUACCCAUCGUCGGCUUGGUGAGCCGUUACCUCACCAACUACCUAAUGGGACGCGAACCCCUCUCUCAGCGGAUUGCUCCUUUGACCUCUCCACGAUGUCAUGGUGUGGUCUUAUGCGGUAUUAGCACUUGUUUCCAGGUGUUAUCCCCCUCUGAAGGUCAGGUUGUUCACGCGUUACUCACCCGUUCGCCACUAAAAUUUAUCUUCCAUCCGAAAACUUCCGAUAAAUCUCCGUUCGACUUGCAUGUGUUAGGCACGCCGCCAGCGUUCGUCCUGAGCCAGGAUCAAACUCUGA
rnacentral:rRNA from 1 species